GUCGACUACUCAGUUGAGACAUUACCAUCUGGCUUGUGGGGAGCUCCACGAGACUAGGGAAGAGCCAUGUCCUUGAGAAGGAGGCUGGCCUUUCAGCCUGAUAUUCUAGAAUGGCUCAUGCAGCAGAAGAACCUCGUGCGCGCGAUGCAAAAGGAGCGCUACAAGAUGGAAAAGGGAUUUGUCGCAUACACGAAAGAUUUAAUUGAUUUUUUUCGCUCGACAAGAACCUCGAAAAGUGAGAAAGGGACUCAGACCUCUGAGCCAGCAAAGCAGGAGAACGCCUCCCGUGCCUUAGAGCAGUUUUACGAAUCAGAGGAGCUGAUAAAGCGGAUGAAAUGGAAGCGUGUCACGUGGGAUGAAGAGGCCGAUUACACGAGCUUUUCCAAGCGGAUCUUGGAUAACGACUCCAUGUUCAAGCGCACCACAGCAUUCUCUUUCUUGUCUAUUCACGUCGUGAAAGACCCUUGCAACACCGAUCUCGUGAACAUCCCGCUCGCAGAGAAAACGAUUGCGACUGGCACUCUCACGAAUUGGCUGCUACAGGAACGGGAACCAAAAACCGUGGACUUGUACCCUGUUCGCGAAGCAUCGGAGCGCCGUAGUGCUUUUCACGUGGACUGGACCUCGGGUGCCGUCAAGAUUUUAGAUACGGCUUCAGCGCAAGAGAUUUUGACAUUUUUGUCGACUGUAGCGCCUCGUCUGCAAGCCGUACAACUGAUGAUGGAGGCCCAGCAAGCUCGGCAGGCGGCCGACAUUGAAAAGGUGCGCGUUCGAGUGGGGGCCACGCUGAAAUUCAACUCGUAUGAGACGAGUUUUUGGGAUGAUCCCAAACGGAAAACGAGCCCUGACUUCGUCAACCCUGACGAAUUGGAGCAGUUCCUCUCAGGCAUGCUUAAGUCCGCGUUUCUGUACCGCUGGUUUUUAAAGGGGCAGGAAAUCAGAGUGAUACCACCAGGUCGUCCUUACUAUCUGGACAUGGAAAAGAAGGAGAUUCAGGUUCCCGCCAAUUUUGCCGAGUACAACUGGCUGAAGGCCCACUCGCAUUUUGAGGGAGUUGAAAAGGUUGCUGAUAGUUUUCGUAGGUUUUGGUGGUUUUGGUUUUGUUUCGGUAUGAUCCUUGUUGGAGAUGUUGAGUUGGUUUAGCGGAUCAGUCGCUUAACCCCGCCUCUUUCUUUUUUGUCUGUUUCCCUGGUGGCAGUGCGAGCGAACAUGAUGUUUCUUCUGAUUUAAUGGUAAUAAAAAACUCGUCGUUACAGUCACAGC
rnacentral:misc_RNA from 1 species